UUGGUGGGUACAACUCUGUAGUUAUGCCAUCAAUGUUUUGUAAAUAUACUACGAUGUGAAUGAUUGUGUUCACUUGCACGUGUAUACGUUUGAGAGAGCGAGAGAGGAAGAGGGGGAGAAAUAAAUAGAGAUUGAGAGCAAUGUGUAUGUUGUUGUCACAGGUCAUGUAUGUGUGGUUGUGUGUGUUUUUACGUAUCUAUGUUAUGAAAAAUAGGUAAAGAAUACUGAGAUUAAAGUUUAAUCUAUGACGUUGUAUGUAUCACUUUCUCUCUCUCUCCCUCUCCCAUUCUUACUUUCUAUAUUUUUAUGUUGAGCGCGUGUGUAAGAAUGGCGUUCCAGGUAGCAGGGAUGAAAUAUAAAAGUUGCUAGAAACAACAGCCAAAUCUCCCUUAAAUCACACAAAGUAAACAGAAUUUUAAAAAUCUAAUUACUGCACUGGUAUCGAAUUGAAAGGGCAUCAGUUUUCUCAGAUGAUGAGGAUGAUGAUGAUGAUUCUGAGUAUCAAAGACGGACGCUUCAAAAGCCUCCUCUUGUCGUUCAGUUUCCAAAAGAGAGAGCAUCUCAACCCCCACUUGUCUUCUCCAGAGCCAAGUAGAUAUCCACAACCAACUGACAUUCAUUAUACGCCAAAAGAAAGAAGUGCAAAUGUAGCUCCUCCCAACCUGUCAGGAAAAUCUGAAUAGUUGUUGCAUGUUCCGGAUCGGCGGCUAUUCACUGCAAUUGAAAAUAUUCAAGAGGAACAGUCCCAGCAAAGGGAAAUGUUGCAGUCUAUACUGCAGCUAAUUCAAAAUAUUCCAUCCUCAUCCUCCAUCUCGGAGACAAGAAAUCUCCCCGACACAAUUCAUUUCCCUUGUGGAUUAAAAUAACAUAUUAAGUUGUA